rnacentral:tRNA from 1 species
GGCAAGAUGGCCGAGCGGUCUAAGGCGCCGCACUCAAGCGUCACAACUUGUCACAUUCAAUGUGGUUUGCGGUCUCGAAAGAGGCGUGGGUUCAAAUCCCACUCUUGUCA